rnacentral:lncRNA from 1 species
AAGGCUUGGAGACGGCUGCUGUUUUUUUGUUUCAAAGGGCUGAAAGAGAUGGUUGGACCGUGGGUUCAAAUGUGGGGGUCUGUUGAGAAAGAAACGGCUGAAGGGGUGGCUGUGUUUGGCUUUGGUUUGUGGCCGGCGGCUGUAGAAAAAAAAUUCAAACCAAGGGGAAAGGGGGGCUGCAGGCUUGGUAGAGAUAGGUUUAGGGUUAGGUUAUUUUUUUUGUAUUUUCUGAUAUUUCAAAAUUGCC